rnacentral:rRNA from 1 species
UACGGGGGGGGCAAGCGUUGUUCGGAAUUACUGGGCGUAAAGGGCUCGUAGGUGGCCAACUAAGUCAGACGUGAAAUCCCUCGGCUUAACCGGGGAACUGCGUCUGAUACUGGAUGGCUUGAGUUUGGGAGAGGGAUGCGGAAUUCCAGGUGUAGCGGUGAAAUGCGUAGAUAUCUGAAGGAACAUCAGUGGCGAAAGCGACUUCCUGGACCAAUACUGACGCUCAUGUGCGAAAGCGUGGGGAGCAAACAGG